rnacentral:rRNA from 1 species
CCCUUAGAUGUUCUGGGCCGCACGCGUGCUACAAUGGCAAAAUCAACGAGUAUACCUUUGUCGACAGACAUGGGAAAUCUUUUCAGUUCUUGCCGUGAUGGGGCUAGACCCUUGUAAUUGUUGGUCUCCAACGAGGAAUUCCUAGUAAACGCAAGUCAUUAUCUUGCAUUGGUUACGUCCCUGCCCUUUGUACACACCGCCCGUCGCACCUACCGAUUGAAUGGUCCGGUGAAGUCUUCGGACUGGCAGCAUGUAUGUGCUUGCCGGGAAGUUGAGUAAACCUUACCAUUUAGAGGAAGGUGAAGUCGUAACA